GCCAGUGAACCAAGCCACAUCCUCGCUGUUGCAUCCAGCCCUGUAUCUGAGAAAGAGUGAGCAUAUUGCAUCCAUACUAAUCUGCUUGUUUACCAGUCUAUGCUGAACCAGUGAACCGAGCCACAUCCUCGCUGUUGCAUCCAGCCCUGUAUCUGAGAAAGAGUGAGCAUAUUGCAUCCAUACUAAUCUGCUUGUUUAACAGUCUAUGCUGAAGUCCCGCUGAGCCAGUGAACCGAGCCACAUCCUCGCUGUUGCAUCCAGCCCUGUAUCUGAGAAAGAGUGAGCAUAUCGCAUCCAUACUAAUCUGCUUGUUCACCAGUCUAUGCUGAAGUCCCGCUGAGCCAGAGAACUGAGCCACAUCCUCGCUGCUGCAUCCAGCCCUGUAUCUGAGAAGAAAGAGUGAGCAUAUUGAAUCCAUACUAACACACUCUGUUUAACACUCUAUGCUGAGCCAGUGAACCGAGCCACAUCCUCGCUGCUGCAUCCAGCCCUGUAUCUGAGAAAGAGUGAGCAUAUUGCAUCCAUACUAAUCUGCUUGUUUACCAGUCUAUGCUGAAGUCCCGCUGAGCCAGAGAACUGAGCCACAUCCUCGCUGCUGCAUCCAGCCCUGUAUCGGAG